UCUCCUAAUCGCCGGGGCCCAGCAGCCGCUUUGUGACUUCACGCGUUUCGCAACAAGCCCGGGCCACCCGCGCCCCACCCACCCCGGCCCGGCGGCCUUGCAGCCUGCCACCUCUCUUGGCUCUUCGCGCUUCUCUCCCUCCCCGGCCUGCCCAGGCCUUCCCGGAGCCUCGGGUCCCGCCACGAGACGUGGCCGCCGUCUAGCUGAUUGGCAAGUGCGCGGCCGCCGCCUCCACGCAGCCCGGAGCAACCCGGCGUCGCGUCCCGCUGAGCGCUGCGCCCCCUCGGCGGCCGCGGCGCGAUGCUGUGCUUUCUGAAGGGGAUGGCCUUCGUCCCCUUCCUCCUGGUGACCUGGUCGUCCGCCGCCUUCAUCAUCUCCUACGUGGUCGCUGUGCUCUCCGGGCACGUCAACCCCUUUCUCCCCUACAUCAGUGAUACAGGAACAACACCUCCAGAGAGUGGUAUUUUUGGAUUCAUGAUAAACUUCUCUGCAUUUCUUGGUGCAGCCACGAUGUACACGAGAUAUAAAAUAGUAGAGAAGCAAAAUCAAACCAGCUAUUUCGGCACUCCUGUUUUUAACUUGGUGUCCUUAGUUCUUGGAUUGGUGGGAUGUAUCGGAAUGGGCAUUGUAGCAAAUUUUCAGGAGUUAGCUGUGCCUGUGGUCCACGAUGGGGGCGCCCUUCUGGCUUUUGUCUGCGGUGUGGUGUAUACGCUCCUGCAAUCCAUCAUCUCUUACAAAUCGUGUCCACAGUGGAACAGCAUCUUGACGUGCCACAUACGCAUGGCCAUCUCUGCUGUUUCCUGUGCAGCUGUUGUCCCCAUGAUUGCCUGUGCUUCACUAAUUUCUAUAACCAAACUGGAGUGGAAUCCAAAAGAAAAGGAUUAUGUGUACCAUGUAGUGAGCGCAAUCUGUGAAUGGACCGUGGCCUUUGGUUUUAUUUUCUACUUCCUAACAUUCAUCCAAGAUUUUCAGAGUGUUACCUUAAGGAUAUCCACAGAAAUCAAUGGUGAUGUUUGAAGAAAAGAGGAUUCUGUCUCAGUGAAUGUCACAGAUGGUUUCUAGAAGUGGCACAGAGAGGGACAGGUUUUGAUGCCGCCCCGAUUGGGAUGCAUUUGCGGUACAUCCAGGACUUGAAUUUCACCAAGAUUCCUAUAGUUGUACUAUUUACAAAGGGAUGAGGACAAUCGGCGAGCUCUGGGGAGCAGGCGAUCUGGAUGGGGAAUUCUCUCCCAGUCUGUGAAGUUUCAACACCCAUCAGGCUGCCUGGCAGGUGGUGAGCUUAGACAGUGUGUGUCCUGCUGCACCCAGAGGCUUCUGGGUGCUUCUGCUCUUUCAAAAGACGUAUUCCUUCUGCGUGGCUCAAGUGGAACCUUAAGAUGAGAUUGCGUGGUGGGGUAACUACAUCAAAGACCUCCCCCCAUCCCAGUGGGCCUGGAAGAGUAAGACAGCUCUAAAAACCCCUCUCUUCUCCAGGGACAAAUUCAAAACAAGAGAGCUGAGCCCUUACUCUAGCUCCUGUCUCAGAGGCCCUGUUCCUCUGCCCACUUUUAAAUCCACUGCCCCAGCUUGAGCGUGUGUGGGGAAGGGGAGGUGGCCCCACACUGGGAAGAGUUUCUGUUCCCUUCCUUUGUUGACGAUCCUUCAUAGAAGACAGAAUGCACACACAGAUUGCAGGGGCACAUGUGGCCUCCACAUGAGUUUGGCAUUCGCAGGCUUCGUGUGGUUUCUCACCAGUUCUACCAGUUCUUCAUUCUUCUGAGAGGCCGGCAACCUGGCAACUGCACCAUCUGCCCACUCUGACACAGGGGCAGGUAGCACCAAGGAGGGCCACCACAAGCACUUUUCUGUCUCUCUCAGUAACGUUUCCUGAAAGAAGAGUGGGAGACAAACUAUAUGCUCAUUGGGGUCAUGCCACUAUGACUGGGUAUUUACAUCUGCCCACCAAGGGCUGAGAGCAGCUGUUGGAUGAUGGACUGACAGAAGCUGGACCCUCUGACAUUGGAAGUGAAGCUUUUUCAAAGAAAAGUGUAUGAAAAAAAAAUAGUGCAAGUGGCAGGUGGGAUUACAGAGGGUCUUGGUAUUAUGUUCAGGAAGUGUAUUCAUAGUCUGACUUUAUAUUUUGAUCUCAAUGAUUAUAUUGUGAAAUUUUUCUUCAGGGCUAAGGACUGAACACAGGGCCUUGGGCACACUUGGCAAGCACUCUACCAACUGAGCUACACCCCCAGCUCAUUUUUUUUUUUUUUUUGGUAACAGACUUCUCACUUAAAAUGGCUUUCUUCUGCAAUAUCUGCUCAUUCCUUUGGUAAAAGCAUUUUGGAAUACACAUAAGCACCCAUUAUCCCAGCCUCCUCCCUUCCCCUCCCCACCUCCUCAAUGCCACACUUCAGUUUUCCCAAACCAUAACUAACCCUGUCAAGUACAGGGAACUAGACAUCUGCGCCCCAUCUUCCUAAAGUGGUUGGUGGAGGGUGAUAAUGGGCGACAAAUGGUGACAGAUGUGAGCAGAAAGGGGACCUGUACCCACUCCAGUGUCUCUGAGGUAGACAGACCUCAAUAAGGCGAGUCCAAGUGUGAGAACUGAACACUACCUCAAGGAUGGGAAACAGGUGAAAUUGUCCUAGAGCCUAGCUUGGAGAGAGAUGGGGUGUGGCAAGAGCCCCCCACUUCCACACUACCUCUGCAGGAAUCCAGGUCCCCACCAACUAAGGGAGGGAAAGGAAACUGGGUAUUGGGCUUCCUGCCAAUUUUGUUCUGUGGGGCACUCAAGUUGAAUUUGA